rnacentral:telomerase_RNA from 1 species
CACGGGGGUGUGGAGCUGAGAACUGCACACGAUUCCCAUCCCAACCCUAAACCACUUCUGUAAUCAGAAGAUUUAAUUAAAAGGGGGUGGUUUGCCCGGUGUUUUCCCCCAGUUGUGCCAAACAAAAGAAACACCGAUGCCUAUGCGUGUGUCAGUUCGCAGAGUUGAAUUUCUCCGGGCAGGUUAGAAGGUAGUGGCCACUGACAUGGACAUGUAUUGUGGUCACUUUGGCCUCACUUGCCAGCACCCCUACUUUUUU